rnacentral:rRNA from 1 species
UGCAGGAAUGAGAGUUAAUAUAAUAAGUUUAUUAACUUGCUUGACUAGGUCUUAUAAAGUUCUGGAUAAAGCUUAUUAUGAAAACUUUAUAUCCAUAGGUCUCGACCAAAUCUUGUGCCAGCAGUCGCGGUAAGACAAGGGAGACGAGUGUUAUUCAUCUUUAACAGGUAUAUAGGGUACCUAGACGGUGUGCAAUGGCUUAAAUAAGUACCUGGUACACUUGAGUUUGAUAUGUGAGAGGAAUAUGUCGGAAUUGUUGGAGGAAAGAUGAAAUUUGUUAAUACCAAUAGGACUGAUAACGGCGAAGGCAAACCUCUAUGUACAUGUACUUGCUAUCUCUAAAUUAGAGAGGAAAACAGCAAUGUGCUAUAACUGACGUUGAGGGACGAAGGCUCAGAGAGUGAAGAGGAUUAGAUACCCCCGUAACCUGGGCAGACAAUGAUGAGUGCCAUAGGUUGGCUUUAAGGCGGAACUAUAAAUGAAAGUGGAAGCACUCCACCUCAAGAGUAAUGUGGCAACGCAGGAACUGAAAUCAUUAGACCGUUUCUGAAACCAGUAGUGAAGUAUGUUAUUUAAUUCGAUGGAUCCGCA